rnacentral:rRNA from 1 species
GGUUGACCUCGGAUCAGGUAGGAAUACCCGCUGAACUUAAGCAUAUCAAUAAGCGGAGGAAAAGAAACCAACAGGGAUUGCCUCAGUAACGGCGAGUGAAGCGGCAACAGCUCAAAUUUGAAAUCUGGCCUCACGGUCCGAGUUGUAAUUUGUAGAGGAUGCUUUUGGCGAGGUGCUUUCCGAGUUCCCUGGAACGGGACGCCAUAGAGGGUGAGAGCCCCGUACGGUAAGACCACCGAGCCUCUGUAAAGCUCCUUCGACGAGUCGAGUAGUUUGGGAAUGCUGCUCUAAAUGGGAGGUGUACGUCUUCUAAAGCUAAAUACCGGCCAGAGACCGAUAGCGCACAAGUAGAGUGAUCGAAAGAUGAAAAGCACUUUGAAAAGAGGGUUAAAAAGUACGUGAAAUUGUUGAAAGGGAAGCAUUCAUGACCAGACUUGGGCUUGGUUGAACAUCCGGCGUUCUCGCCGGUGCACUCUGCCAGUCCAGGCCAGCAUCAGUUUGCCCCGGGGGACAAAGGCGGUGGGAAUGUGGCUCUCUUCGGGGAGUGUUAUAGCCCGCCGUGUAAUGCCCUGGGGCGGACUGAGGAACGCGCUUCGGCACGGAUGCUGGCGUAAUGGUCAUCAAUGACCCGUCUUGAAACACGGACCAAGGAGUCGUCUUCGUAUGCGAGUGUUCGGGUGUCAAACCCCUACGCGUAAUGAAAGUGAACGUAGGUGAGAGCUUCGGCGCAUCACCGACCGAUCCUGAUGUUCUCGGAUGGA